UAUCUCUGCAGAACACGAUGCUUACCAGCUAUUUUGCUUAACAUACAUUUACAUCAGGAUGAGGGGAAAGCAGGAGGAAAAUAAGACUUUUCUUGAGGGCAAACUGGAGAAGCUCAUCACCUGCUUGUGAUAUGCAAACACCAAGAAUAAAAAUGCAGAAGGAGGGGGAAGUGGUAUGACAGAAGAACCAAACAUUUGAAGGGUUCUGCUGGUGAAAUUCCAAGGAGAGGCAUCGUGGGCUCAUCAGUGACAGCACUCAGCUAAAUCUCAUACUGCAUUCGUUUCACAGAUUGUACUAACUUCUUCAGCCCCAUACUCUUAUUAAAUCUUGCCCUCCGGGAUUGUUGCCAUUUUUAA